rnacentral:misc_RNA from 1 species
AAAGAAUUCACCAAGAAGUUACCACGUUCCAAAGUAGUUCCUUCCAAACCUAAAAUUUGCUUAGCUUGUAUUUUUUUUCCUACCAAUUCCUUAGAUAUUAUACUUCAGCAACCAUUAUUCUUAAUGGUUUAUGAUCACUUAAACAUACUUUGGAGAAAGACCUGUUCAAAAGGCAGGUUGGUUCGGGUUCAUACCAGGCCUAAUCAGUCAGGGACCUUUUAACCUAAGCCUGGCCCCAGCCCAAUAUUUAAGCCAAUAUCUUUGGCCAAGCUUGGCCCAAUACAAUAAAAUAUAGGCAGGACAGGUUCUGCCCAGUUCCAAUAAGAAAAAAUUCAAUCAGGACAGGCAUUUCAGCUCAGAACAUAAUUAGAAAAAGCAAUUACCGUCGCCUUGGAGGAGGAGGAGAA